rnacentral:rRNA from 1 species
ACGCUAUCACUCCUACGGGAGGCAGCAGUGAGGAAUAUUGGGCAAUGGAGGCAACUCUGACCCAGCCAUGCCGCGUGCAGGAAGACGGCCCUAUGGGUUGUAAACUGCUUUUAUACAGGAAGAAACGCAUCUACGUGUAGGUGUUUGACGGUACUGUAAGAAUAAGGAUCGGCUAACUCCGUGCCAGCAGCCGCGGUAAUACGGAGGAUUCGAGCGUUAUCCGGAAUCAUUGGGUUUAAAGGGUCCGUAGGCGGUCUUAUAAGUCAGUGGUGAAAUCUUCCAGCUCAACUGGGAAACUGCCAUUGAUACUGUAGGACUUGAAUAUUUGUGAAGUAACUAGAAUAUGUAGUGUAGCGGUGAAAUGCUUAGAUAUUACAUGGAAUACCAAUUGCGAAGGCAGGUUACUAACAGAUUAUUGACGCUGAUGGACGAAAGCGUGGGUAGCGAACAGGAUUAGAUACCCUGGUAGG